GUACACUCCUACGGGAGGCAGCAGUGGGGAAUUUUGGACAAUGGGCGAAAGCCUGAUCCAGCAAUGCCGCGUGAGUGAAGACGGCCUUCGGGUUGUAAAGCUCUUUUGUCAGGGAAGAAACGGUGAAAGCUAAUAUCUUUUGCUAAUGACGGUACCUGAAGAAUAAGCACCGGCUAACUACGUGCCAGCAGCCGCGGUAAUACGUAGGGUGCAAGCGUUAAUCGGAAUUACUGGGCGUAAGGCGUGCGCAGGCGGUUUUGUAAGUCUGAUGUGAAAUCCCCGGGCUCAACCUGGGAAUUGCAUUGGAGACUGCAAGGCUAGAAUCUGGCAGAGGGGGGUAGAAUUCCACGUGUAGCAGUGAAAUGCGUAGAUAUGUGGAGGAACACCGAUGGCGAAGGCAGCCCCCUGGGUCAAGAUUGACGCUCAUGCACGAAAGCGUGGGGAGCAAACAGGAUUAGAAACCCUGGUAGUCCCAUGA
rnacentral:rRNA from 1 species